rfam:Camelus ferus unplaced genomic scaffold scaffold445, whole genome shotgun sequence.
GUGGGUAGAGCUCAGUGGUAGAGUGCAUGCUUAGCAUGCACAGGGUCCUGGGUUCAAUUCCCAGUACCUUCA